AGUAAACGAAAGGAAGGGGCUGAGCUAAGCAGGAGGUUGGCGGCACCAUUUUUAGGGUAUUCCUCUCUCUCAUAAAUAUUAACGGCACUGCCCUGCUGCGCUGCACCCAACUCAAAGAGGCGUUGCGUCUUUCUCUCUCACUUCACAGCUUCAGUGGAGCUUCGAGUGAAGGGCAUGGCGCCAUGUGCUCGCUCUUCUCAUAAUGCUCCAAACAUCUAACGCUUCGUUGCUGUGAAAAUGGAUGACCAAAUCUGGCUUCCACCAUUAUGGCCAUCUGCGACAGGCAUAUAUGUAUCUCUUAUAUAUUGCCAAUUAGUCACUUUUGUGGAGAUUGCAUAAAUUGAAAUGAUUCUGAAAAGAAGGCAUUUGAUUUUUGUACUGCAUAGUUACACACAUGAUAACUUUCUGUCUUCUUGAUCACUCUUAUCUUGACACAACUAACACGUUAUAAGACUGCCUAGACGCAUUCUCUUUAGCUUUGGUCAGAUGGAUUUGAUAGUCUUUUGAUUUCACUUGUCAUCAUCAACGAGCAUUCUCUCAGAUUAAAUGCCUUUUGCAGGAGAACGGAACAUGGCAACUGCAAGGGCUUCCCACAGUUUCCAUCUUUGGAAGUGCGCCUCGAUGCCAAACCACAAGCGCCUUUGUCAAGAUACCGUCCUCUCUGGGUUCCGUAAAGAGCACCUCUAGAAUCUUUGGCUUGAAGGCAAAGCCAGAUUUCAAGGCAACUGCCAUGGCUGUGUACAAGGUGAAAUUGGUUGGGCCGGAUGGUGCUGAGUGCGAGUUUGAGGCACCCGACGACUGCUACAUCCUCGACUCUGCUGAGUCAGCUGGAGUUGAACUCCCAUACUCAUGCAGGGCUGGAGCAUGCUCCACCUGUGCUGGGAAAAUGGUGUCGGGGGCUGUCGACCAGUCUGAUGGCUCGUUCCUAGACGACAAACAGAUGCAGGAGGGCUACCUGCUGACCUGCGUUUCCUACCCGACUUCAGACUGUGUGAUUCACACACACAAGGAGAGUGAUCUGUACUGAUUACCAUGAUCUCUCUCUCUCUCUUUUUUUAUCAGACAAAAAAAACGAGAAACUAUGUUUUCUGGCUGUAGGUUUGAAUAUCAAGUCGUGCUUUCUUCAGUCAGCAAACUCUUGUAAUCUUGUUUUUGUGCUUAUGUCAUAUGUUUAUGUUGGAAAUAGAGGAGGGUGUGUUCUCUGUGCUUUUAUUAA